AUGAACGGCGGAACACAGAGAGUGCCCUCCGGCUUCCACCCACCGCCUUCCCCCCGCGCCUGCGCCGUGAGGCGCCGGCGCCCACGCACAAAAUGGAGCGCGGCGGCCGCCGGUGCGGGCCCGGCGCUCCCGGUGCGGCCCCCGCCCCCCCUCCGCCUUCUCCGGUCCUCACCUCUUCCCUCCUCGGACCCGCGGGCAGGCAAAAAGAAGCGCGAGGUCCCACCGAGAUUUGAACUCGGAUCGCUGGAUUCAAAGUCCAGAGUGCUAACCAUUACACCAUGGGACCGCUGGGUGUACUGGGUGGCUCCGCGCGCCCGCCCUAUCCCUCCGCCCGCGGUAAAUAGUCCCGGCUCCCGCCGGCCGCGGAUUCCCGGGAAUUCCGGGACAUUCCCGGCCCUAAAACCCCUCUUAAAUCCCGGCCCCGGCCCCGUUCCACCCUCUGGGACAGCCCCGAGCUCCGCCGCCGGCAGCCGCGCUCCUCGUGCCCAGCACUCUGAUUCCCACUUUUUUUUUUGGAUUUUUUAUUUAUUUCCCCCUUUAUUCCUCUGGGUUUUUUCCCUAAUUCCCCCUCCUUUCUUUCUCUGUUUUCCUCUAUUUCCCGCGUAUCCAUGUGUUUGUACUCGAUUCCCCCUUUAUUUCUCUAUUCCCCACUUAUUUCUCCUUUCCCCACUUUCCUCCUCUUAUUUCCCAAUUUUAUUUUUAUCCAUUUCCCCCCUAUUUCCCAAUUUCCCUCUAUUACCUCCAUUCCCCCCUCUUUCUUUUCCCCUCAAUUUCUCUUUUUUCUCCAUUUCUCCCUUUAUUUCUUACUCCCAUUUUUUCCUCUCUUCCCUUUACUUCUUCCUCCCCGUUCCCCCUUUAUUUAUUUUCCUUUAUUUUCCUAUUUCCCCCUCUAGUCCCCUUUCGUUUUCCCUCUAUUCCCCUUUUUUAAAACAAGAAUUUCAUUUUAAAUUCCCCAUUUUUUUCCCUCCCCUCUUCAUUUUCCCCCGAAUUCCUCCAUUUCCCCCCUUUUUUCCCCCUCCCCAAUCCCACAAAACCGCACAAACACUCAGAUUUGUUGGUUUUUUUGCUUCUUUCUCUGUUUUUGCUCUUUAUUUUUCACAACGAAACAGUGGAAAUAAAGCGGUUUGUGGCAAAAAUAAAAUAAAAUAA
rnacentral:tRNA from 13 species